GACGAACCGAGCGAACGUUGUUCGGAAUCACUGGGCUUAAAGGGCGCGUAGGCGGGUGCUCAAGUCCGGGGUGAAAUCCUCCAGCUCAACUGGAGAACUGCCUCGGAUACUGGGUGCCUCGAGGGUGGUAAGGGUAUGCGGAACUAUCGGUGGAGCGGUGAAAUGCGUUGAUAUCGAUAGGAACUCCGGUGGCGAAGGCGGCAUACUGGACCACUUCUGACGCUGAGGCGCGAAAGCCAGGGGAGCAAACGGG
rnacentral:rRNA from 1 species